UUUAAAGAGAGUUUGAUCCUGGCUCAGGACGAACGCUGGCGGCGUGCCUAAUACAUGCAAGUCGAACGAACGGAGGAAGAGCUUGCUCUUCCAAAGUUAGUGGCGGACGGGUGAGUAACACGUGGGCAACCUGCCUGUAAGUUGGGGAUAACUCCGGGAAACCGGGGCUAAUACCGAAUGAUAAAGUGUGGCGCAUGCCACGCUUUUGAAAGAUGGUUUCGG
rnacentral:rRNA from 1 species